GACGAACGCUGGCGGCGUGCUUAACACAUGCAAGUCGAACGGAAAGGCCCUGCUUUUGUGGGGUGCUCGAGUGGCGAACGGGUGAGUAACACGUGAGUAACCUGCCCUUGACUUUGGGAUAACUUCAGGAAACUGGGGCUAAUACCGGCUAGGAGCUCCUGCUGCAUGGUGGGGGUUGGAAAGUUUCGGCGGUUGGGGAUGGACUCGCGGCCUAUCAGCUUGUUGGUGGGGUAGUGGCUUACCAAGGCUUUGACGGGUAGCCGGCCUGAGAGGGUGACCGGCCACAUUGGGACUGAGAUACGGCCCAGACUCCUACGGGAGGCAGCAGUGGGGAAUAUUGCACAAUGGGCGGAAGCCUGAUGCAGCAACGCCGCGUGCGGGAUGACGGCCUUCGGGUUGUAAACCGCUUUCGCCUGUGACGAAGCGUGAGUGACGGUAAUGGGUAAAGAAGCACCGGCUAACUACGUG
rnacentral:rRNA from 1 species